AUUGAACGCUAGCGGCAUGCUUAACACAUGCAAGUCGAACGGCAGCGCGGGUAGCUUGCUGCCUGGCGGCGAGUGGCGGACGGGUGAGUAAUGCGUAGGAAUCUACCUUAUAGUGGGGGAUAACCCGGGGAAAAUCGGGCUAAUACCGCAUCAUCUCUACGGAGCAAAGCGGGGGACCUUCGGGCCUCGUGGUAUACGAUGAGUCUACGUCGGAUUAGCUAGUUGGUGGGGUAAAGGCCUACCAAGGCGACGAUCCGUAGAUGGUCUGAGAGGACGAGCAGCCACACUGGGACUGAGACACGGCCCAGACUCCUACGGGAGGCAGCAGUGGGGAAUAUUGGACAAUGGGGGAAACCCUGAUCCAGCAAUGCCGCGUGUGUGAAGAAGGCCUUCGGGUUGUAAAGCACUUUCAGUGGGGAAGAAAGAACCAAAAUUAAUACGUUUGGGUGUUGACGUUACCCACAGAAGAAGCACUGGCUAACUACGUGCCAGCCGCCGCGGUAA
rnacentral:rRNA from 1 species